rnacentral:rRNA from 1 species
AUUGAACGCUGGCGGCAUGCUUUACACAUGCAAGUCGGACGGCAGCACAGAGAAGCUUGCUUCUUGGGUGGCGAGUGGCGAACGGGUGAGUAAUAUAUCGGAACGUACCGAGCAGUGGGGGAUAACUAAUCGAAAGAUUAGCUAAUACCGCAUAUUUUCUGAGGAAGAAAGCAGGGGACCAUUUGGCCUUGCGCUGUUUGAGCGGCCGAUAUCUGAUUAGCUAGUUGGUGGGGUAAAGGCCUACCAAGGCGACGAUCAGUAGCGGGUCUGAGAGGAUGAUCCGCCACACUGGGACUGAGACACGGCCCAGACUCCUACGGGAGGCAGCAGUGGGGAAUUUUGGACAAUGGGCGCAAGCCUGAUCCAGCCAUGCCGCGUGUCUGAAGAAGGCCUUCGGGUUGUAAAGGACUUUUGUCAGGGAAGAAAAGGAUAGGGUUAAUACCCCUGUCUGAUGACG